GUGGAUUAGAUACCCUGGUAGUCCUAGCUGUAAACUAUGUAUACUAGAUGUUGGGGGAGUCAAUCUUUCCAGCGUCGUAGCUAACGCUUUAAGUAUACCGCCUGGGAAGUACGCCCGCAAGGGUGAAACUCAAAGGAAUUGACGGGGGCCCGCACAAGCGGUGGAGCAUGUGCUUUAAUUCGAUGCAACGCGAAGAACCUUACCUGGGUUUGACAUGGGAGUGAAAGUUUCCAGAGAUGGAGGCCUUUCCGCAAGGAACACUCUACACAGGUGCUGCAUGGCUGUCGACAGCU
rnacentral:rRNA from 1 species